rnacentral:sRNA from 1 species
CCCAGGGCGCUGCCCUGGGCUUUAAUAAAGCGCCCUUUCAGGGCU